rnacentral:lncRNA from 1 species
CAUAAAUUACUCGUUGAAUCAAAGAGCUAAGCCUUCACCACUGACUACAUAAGAUUGAUGAGUUGAGCCGGAUCUCCAUCACUGACCAUAAACUUCCACCACUUGUGCCGGAACGACCACCUACAGACACCGGACUUCACCGACAGUCUUAACCAAUGCGGCUCCAACAAUGGACAAAAAUCAAUUUUCACCAACGGUAUCAAUCAAUGUUGCUCCAACAAAUUGGCUUGUGACUUGUUGCUUGGGGAUGGGGAUAACUAUAUGGCAAGAGAAUAGGGGUAGGGACUGAGAAGAGAGAGAGAGAGAGAGGGAAAGGAUAUGGGGUUUGUGUAGAUUGGAAUGAUGCAUUUGGG